GGAUAUUUACCUACCAUUGACCCUAAACAUGUAACGUUAAAUCCAUCCUGUCGUCGACAAAGAAGGUCGUUACUGCACAUCUCAGGAUAUCAUGCCUAGUGGCAAAUGGUGCAGCAUCUGUUUGAAAUGAGGUGCUGCAGCAUUUGCUGAUUGAUGAGGGGGAGCAAUUGGACUCAUCCAUCAUGACUUGGCCAGGUUAGGUAUCUUUCACUCACUCACCCUCUUUCGUUCUCUCUC